rnacentral:rRNA from 1 species
GCCUAAAGCGUCCGUAGCCUGCUCUGUAAGUUUCCGGUUAAAUCCAUUAGCUCAACUAAUGGCCUGCCGGAAAUACUGCAGAACUAGGAAGUGGGAGAGGUAGACGGUACUCGGUAGGAAGGGGUAAAAUCCUUUGAUCUAUUGAUGACCACCUGUGGCGAAGGCGGUCUACCAGAACACGUUCGACGGUGAGGGAUGAAAGCUGGGGGAGCAAACCGGAUUAGAUACCCGGGUAGUCCCAGCUGUAAACGAUGCAGACUCGGUGAUGCGCUGGCUUGUGGCCAGUGCAGUGCCGCAGGGAAGCCGUUAAGUUUGCCGCCUGGGAAGUACGUACGCAAGUAUGAAACUUAAAGGAAUUGGCGGGGGAGCACCACAAGGGGUGAAGCCUGCGGUUCAAUUGGAGUCAACGCCAGAAAUCUUACCCGGAGAGACAGCAGAAUGAAGGUCAAGCUGAAGACUUUACCAGACAAGCUGAGAGGUGGUGCAUGGCCGCCGCCAGCUCGUGCCGUGAGAUGUCCUGUUAAGUCAGGUAACGAGCGAGAUCCCUGCCUCUAGUUGCCACCAUUACUCUCAGGAGUAGUGGGGCGAAUUAGCGGGACCGCCACAGUUAAUGUGGAGGAAGGAAGGGGCCACGACAGGUCAGUAUGCCC